rnacentral:rRNA from 1 species
AGAGUUGAUCCUGGCUCAGGAUGAACGCUAGCGACAGGCUUAACACAUGCAAGUCGAGGGGCAGCAUAAAAGUAGCAAUACUUGGUGGCGACCGGCGCACGGGUGAGUAACGCGUAUGCAACCUACCUAUCAGGAGGGGAAUAACCCGGCGAAAGUCGGACUAAUACCGCAUAAAACAGGGGCACCGCAUGGUGAUAUUUGUUAAAGAAAUUCGCUGAUAGAUGGGCAUGCGUUCCAUUAGGUAGUUGGUGAGGUAACGGCUCACCAAGCCGACGAUGGAUAGGGGAACUGAGAGGUUGGUCCCCCACACUGGUACUGAGACACGGACCAGACUCCUACGGGAGGCAGCAGUGAGGAAUAUUGGUCAAUGGGCGAGAGCCUGAACCAGCCAAGUCGCGUGAAGGAAGAAGGAUCUAUGGUUCGUAAACUUCUUUUGCAGGGGAAUAAAGUGCAGGACGUGUCCUGUUUUGUAUGUACCCUGAGAAUAAGGAUCGGCUAACUCCGUGCCAGCCGCCGC